rnacentral:rRNA from 1 species
ACUUAAAUUGAAGAGUUUGAUCAUGGCUCAGAUUGAACGCUGGCGGCAGGCCUAACACAUGCAAGUCGAGCGGUAGCACAGAGAGCUUGCUCUCGGGUGACGACCGGCGGACGGGGGAGUAAGGUAUGG